rnacentral:rRNA from 1 species
AUUACCGCGGCUGCUGGCACGUAGUUAGCCGGUGCUUUUUCUGCAGGUACCGUCACUUUCGCUUCUUCCCUACUAAAAGAGGUUUACAACCCGAAGGGCCGUCGUCCCUCACGCGGCGUUGCUGCAUCAGGGCUUUCGCCCAUUGUGCAAUAUUCCCCACUGCUGCCUCCCGUAGG